GGCAAGAUUGGGGGUCGGCUUCCUCCGGACUCUGAAGAACAGGAAAAAAGCCGGAAAGUUAGGAACCUGAAAGGAAAUCAGAGAACUAGAGUAUAUUGCCAGCUAAUGGAAGCCCUUUCCUAGAUGCUGUAGACUAUAGUCCCAGAUUCUACAACCCAUCAGCUUUCAAAGGGAUUCUGGAGCACUCUCUUGGAAUUAUGGAUGGACAAAAACCAGGAUGAUGUUGGGUCCAGCCUGAGAUGGGCUAGAAAGAAGCCUGGAAGCCUGGGCAAAAGACUGUCUCUGAGCUUCAGUUUCCCCGAGUGAAGAGUGAAGGCAUCACAGGCUA